AAGUUCGUUUGUGGAAAUCGCCGAGGAGAGCAGCGGCGCACUCUCCGCAAGGAAGCUGCCAACGAACGGCCAAGUGGGAGGUGACAAGUGGAAAGUGGCAAGUGGAAGUACCAAAAUGUGAACAGUGCCACUAAUUGCAAGUUGUAGCCUCUGUAGCUAAAGUUUUUGUGCGAUUUCGCUAUUCGGUGUGUUGUUGCUGUCGAGUAGCUGCCCCUCUCCGUUCACCCGCUUAAACCGUGUGUGUAUACACACAUUGGCAGGGAGUGCGACUGUGUGGUGCGAUGCUGAAUAUCUGUAUCUGUGGCAGCCAAUAGUUGUGGCAAGGCCCUCGAGCUUCUCACAACACAACAACAGCAUCCCCAAUAAGUGGCAGCAACUACGAAGCACGGCAGAACAACAACAGCCGGAACGACGGCCGCGUUUGUUGUUAAUUGAAAUAAAUUGAAAUAAAUUCCCCGACUUUGCUGCUCAUAUUGUUAAUAAAGAGCAGCCGGAGCAACAGUGGAAUCAGCAGCAGUAAACAAAACACGCAGCAUCCAGCCACACGCCACACGGGACAUGCGCAGUGGCCUCUUUGGUAGUUGCAGUUUGGCUAACAGUGCCUGAAAGAGCGAAGGAACAUGGCAUUCUCCCGCCACAACAUCGAGAAGCGCCGACUCAUCGAGCUUGUGCGACUCAAUCCCAUCCUCUGGGACUGCCGCCUGCCCCACUACAAGCGUUCCGACAAGCGCAAGGCCAUCAAGUGGAACGAGCUGGGCCGGCUUUUCAACGUCAACGGGGAGCGGGUGCAGCGCACUUUCACUUCACUCCGCGAGAUCUUUCGUCGCGAGCUGAACCACGAGAAGAUGCUGGGCACCACGCGCUUCAAGUCGAAAUGGGAGUACUAUGACGCUAUGGCCUUUCUAAAGGAAGUCAUUCGGGAACGCAAAUCCCGCGAGCGCAUUAAACUCGCCUCUCUAGAUCCCGCUUCUGUGCCUACGGGCAGCGUCAACAACAGCAGUGCCAACAACGUUAGCCGGAACAGUAGCAAUAACAACAGCAGCAGCGCCGCCCUUGACGAGUACCAGUACUUUGCCCCCAGCGACCCCAACAACCCGAAUAAUCAGCAGCAGCCCGUGCCAGGGAACAGUCUGCCGGCGGUCAUCCCUAGUCUAAGUCUGAGUCUUAGCCAGUUGCCCGCUGCCCUGCAGCAGCAGGCACAGCAUCUUCAAGCCCUCCAGCUGCAACCAGACGUUACGCUGACCUCGCUACAAAAGCAGCCUCUGGCUACGCCUCUGCCCCACACCUCGCCCGCCCAGGUGUUGUCCAGUUCGCGUUCCUGCAGCUCCUCGCCCUCUAUUUACAUUAAGGACGAGCCGGGCUCCCCCGAAGUGGGUGGUGACGAGGGGGCGUCCGGAAACGGAGCAGAGGCAACGCGGAAGAAGCUGGCCACCAUUCGCCCGCAGACUAAGCAGCAACUCAAGGCACGGCUGCAGCUACCCACGCCCAAGAAUCCAUUGGCGUACGCUACGACGCCGCCCCAUUUGAUCAUCAACGCCAACAACGAGCUUAUCGACGCAGACGCUGGGGACCUUGAGGAGGAUCUCGACGACUUUGACGAAGAUGACGAUGUGACCGGACACUGCUCGCCAAUUGUCGGUCCAUCGGACAUGCUUGGCGCCGACGGCAGACUCUCCGAAAGUAGCUACACUGGAGAUGGCGGGGGCUGCGGAAGGGGUCGAUCUCACUCCCAGGCGCGCCAUCUGCCCACCUCCAGGGAACUGCUCUAUAUGAAGUUCGGCGAGUUCCUGGCUGCCCGACUAAACACUUUGCAUGAGACUGUAGCUAACGAGCUGAUGAACAAAAUGCUUCUGCUGAUCGCCGAAAAGUAAGGAUAGUGGAAUUCAAGCCGCCUCCGGAAUGAUGAAAUCUGUAUCGGAGUAGCUCCUGACCCAACGGCUACAUCCUGUAAGGUAUUAAAAUAGUUUGCAUAAAUCAAGUCUGUACUGUGUGCCAUAAAAGACAACCCUGAAGCGUAUCGUAUUAUCUAUCAUUAAGAUGUAUGAAAUAGUUUUAAUAUCAAAAUGUUCAACAAGCACGGCAAAUAAAAUAACAAGUUCUCGAGCUUUAAGAUUAACAUUGUAC